rnacentral:tRNA from 1 species
CGGCCUGGUCGAGAAGCUGGGCGUCCCGGUGGACUGCGUACCCGGCUCGGAGCUGGCCCUGAAGAUCACCCGGCCGUUCGACCUGGCCCUGGCCGA